rnacentral:rRNA from 1 species
AAGUCGUAACAAGGUUUCCGUAGGUGAACCUGCGGAAGGAUCAUUAAAGAAUCGCCCCGUUUUUUGAAAUGGGUUCUAUUCCCAAACCGUGUAUACAUACCUUUGUUGCUUUGGCAGGCCGCCUUCUAGGCGUCGGCUCCGGCUGACUGCGCCUGCCAGAGGACCCAAACUCGUUUGUUUAGUGAUGUCUGAGUACUAUAUAAUAGUUAAAACUUUCAACAACGGAUCUCUUGGUUCUGGCAUCGAUGAAGAACGCAGCGAAAUGCGAUAAGUAAUGUGAAUUGCAGAAUUCAGUGAAUCAUCGAAUCUUUGAACGCACAUUGCGCCCCUUGGUAUUCCGAGGGGCACGCCUGUUCGAGCGUCAUUAUAACCACUCAAGCCUCGGCUUGGUCUUGGGGUUCGCGGUCUCGCGGCCCUUAAAAUCAGUGGCGGUGCCGUCUGGCUCUAAGCGUAGUAAUUUUCUCGCUAUAGGGUCCAGGUGACCACCUGCCAGAACCCCCCAUUCUUUACGGUUGACCUCGGAUCAGGUAGGGAUACCCGCUGAACUUAA